AAAGUUUUAGUUUAAAAACAAAACAAUUCUUUGUCAAAGAAUAAAUAUAAAAUUAUAAACUUUU
rnacentral:tRNA from 1 species